GUACUAGGAUGGGUGACCUCCCA
rnacentral:siRNA from 1 species